GGUCGCUUAGCUCAGUUGGUUAGAGCGUGGUGCUAAUAUACGAGCUUGUAACUCGGAUAAACGCCAAGGUCGCGAGUUCGACCCUCGUAGUGACCA